rnacentral:rRNA from 1 species
CCAUACGGGUUGAAGCAUGACCGUAAGGACAUGUGGACAGUAUGGGAGUGAGAAUGUUGGCAUGAGUAGCGAGAUGUGGGUGAGAAUCCCACAGGCCGUAAACCCAAGGUUUCCAGGGGAAGGUUCGUCCGCCCUGGGUUAGUCGGGACCUAAGCUGAGGCCGAAAGGCGUAGGUGAUGGACAACAGGUUGAUAUUCCUGUACUACCGAUAACCGUUUGAGAGAAGGGAUGACACAGUAGGAUAAGCUAAGCACA